CGCUGGCGGCAGGCUUAACACAUGCAAGUCGAACGGUAGCAGGAAAAAAGCUUGCUUUCUUUGCUGACGAGUGGCGGACGGGUGAGUAAUGCUUGGGAAUCUGGCUUAUGGAGGGGGAUAACUGGGGGAAACUGCAGCUAAUACCGCGUAUUCUCUGAGGAGGAAAGGGGGGGACCUUAGGGCCACCUGCCAUAAAAUGAGCCCAAGGGGGAUUAGGUAGUUGGGGGGGUAAAGGCCUACCAAGCCUGCGAUCUCUAGCUGGUCUGAGAGGAUGACCACCCACACUGGAACUGAAACACGGCCCAAACUCCUACGGGAGGCAGCAGGGGGGAAUAUUGCGCAAGGGGGGGAACCCUGACGCACCCAUGCCGCGUGAAUGAAAAAGGCCUUCGGGUUGUAAAGUUCUUUCGGUAAUGAGGAAGGGAUGUUGUUAAAUAAAUAGCAUCAUUGACGUUAAUUACAAAAAAAGCACCGGCUAACUCCGUGCCAGCCGCCGCGGUAAU
rnacentral:rRNA from 1 species